UGUUGACUUAUCAGUCUGGAAUGGGGAAUAACCGAGUUAAAGAUAGAUGUCAUCUCAUUGAAGCUGAGACUCCCGACAGCUGGUAGAUAAACUAAAGUUAUCUUACCAGCGAGUACCCGCAGAGAUGGUGCAGUUCAACUUACAUAUUGAAGGCAAAGUUAACAAGUUAUUAAACAUUUAUUGGCAUUCUCAGCUUCAAUGAGAUGACAUCUGCUUCCAGCUCAGUUAUUCUCUACUCCAGACUGAUGAGCCCACAAUAGCGACAAAACUGCAGUCUCAGGAUGAGAUAAUUGGGCCACUGGUUAAUCCUCAGCCCCCCUCCUCCAGUGGAAUAUAAAGAGGGUAAAGAAUGAAUGCUUUCAUAGCUGAGUAGUGAAAUGUCAAAAAGAAAGGGGUGGAAGAGCUGAUAAGAUCAUGUUAAACAUUUUUGUAGAUGUGGACAAUUCUCCAGGGAGACUGCAUGCUGCAGGGGGCGGAUUAAACAGAAAAAGUGAUGAGAAAGCUUUACUGGAUUACAAAGAAAUAAGACUUGGGAGAGGGAGAAGUCAAAGUCAAGACAGUAGAACUCUGACAACCAAAUCCUAACUUCGAUGAAGUUGAAGGAAAAUUAUUGUGUACACACACAAUAUUUUUUCAAUAUAUGCACAACUUUGAUUACAACUUAAAUUUCCUGCAUGAACAAUAUUGUAUUUGGAGUGCCUUAGUGUAGUUAGAAGCAUCUCUGAAGUUACUCGCCAAAUUAUCUGCAUUUUUACCAGGGUUGGGUUUUGGACUGUCCAAAACUGGUUUAGGACUGGACAGGUGGUUUUUACCAUCCAAAACUGUCUUAAACUGUAUAAAACUAUGCUAAAGCUAAAUGAAUGUAAUCUAAUACAUUCAUAUUUACUGCAAUAUUCGUAAUGUGCAUAAAUAUAGAUAUUAAUGACUUUUAGUUUAA